rnacentral:misc_RNA from 1 species
AUGAUGGCCAUGGUGGAGCGA